CUGAUGUGCUUGCAGCUAUUAAACCCAUAGAUCCUGGCAAACGAACCCGUUUUCUAGUUAGAACUCAAACGCAUGGGGUAGAAGUAUAUAUCCGUCGGUCCCUCGACGUUUGGAUUGUCCAUGGCCAUGAAAAGCUGAUUUUCCCAAAACCCAGAAAUGAUGUAACGAUUCCUGAAUAAAAAAAAAAAUAAAAUAAAAAUAAACCAAAGGGGAGAUGUAACGAAGUAAUCCGUUACAUACACCUACAUCUAUAUACUAUUCGAAUUUCCAUAAUGAAUUAUUAUAAUUUGAUUUCACUCGCAUUUCGAAAUAUGUACAUAUGUAUAUUAUUUAUGUCUGAUAAUUAUUUGGAGUAAAAUCAUAUAGUUGUAAGAGUAGAAUGUAUAAGAGAUUAGUAUAAUAGAGCCCAGCAACCAAUUCUCUUUCGUAGCAUACACAACAAUUUAAACUGUUAUAACCUCUCUGAGUGGUUAUCACUGUUAUACCUUCACAUGUGAGCGCUUUCUUUACAUACGCAUUUCUGCCGCACUUAUAGCUGUCUGGGUUAGCACCAUUACACUGCGUAAAUACCACCAUUACUUCAGUUGAGCCUGUGCUGUCACAGAGGACGGACAGCUAUCGCAAGUUUGUAAUAGCUUCGAUAGCAGCCAUACACUUGCGGCACAAAGCUCAACUCAGUAGUAGUACUGCAGAGGGUAUCUACUGGUAUUUACUGCCAUAGAUCCCAGGCGUUGUAAUGGUGUACAGGGACUCUACUGGUAUCCACAGCCAUAGAUCCCAGACGCUAUAUGUAGUCAUAGUUCACAGUGAAACUACUGGUUUUUACAGCUAUAGUUCACAGGAGACGGGGAGUCUAAAAUUUGCAUCUGGUCGGUCACGGUCGUUUUCUCGCUGGUACAGGAUAUUCUGCUGGGCUUCAACACUUUCGAAUAUUGUGAAGUAAUAAUAAAUAUUGAACAAAUAAAGAAAAGGAUUAUAAAGACUUAA